rnacentral:rRNA from 1 species
UAUUUUAGUCUUGUUAGAGGAACCUGUUUUAUAAUCGAUAAACCACGUAUAUUUCACUUAUUUUAAAUAAUUUGUAUACCGUCAUUAUUAGAUAACUUUUAAAAAAUUAGUUAUUAAAAUUAAAUAAAACUAAAUAUAUUAGAUCAAGGUGCAGUUAAUAAAUAAGAAAAAAUGGGUUACAAUAAAAUUUAUUUAAAACGAAUUAUAUAAAUGUAAAAAUAUAUGAAGGAGGAUUUAAUUGUAAUUUAUUAUAAAAUAAUAAUAUGAUAAUAGCUCUAAAAUAU